AGCGAACGCUAGCGGCGGGCUUAACACAUGCAAGUCGAGCGCCUUACUUCGGGUAAGGAGCGGCGGACGGGUGAGUAACACGUAGGUUAUCUGCCCCGGGGUGAGGGACAACUGAGGGAAACUUCAGCUAAUACCACAUAUGGCCUACGGGUCAAAGGCUUCGGCCGCCCUGGGAUGAGCCUGCGUCCCAUUAUUUAAUCCUAGUUGGUGGGGUAAUGGCCUACCAAGGGUACGAUGGGUAGCUGGUUUGAGAGAAUGAUCAGCCACACUGGAACUGAGACACGGUCCAGACUCCUACGGGAGGCAGCAGUGGGGAAUAUUGCGGCAAUGGGCGAAAGCCUGACGCAGCCACGCCGCGUGAGUGAUGAAGGCCCGAGGGUCGUAAAGCUCUGUCGGGA
rnacentral:rRNA from 1 species